rnacentral:rRNA from 1 species
UACGUAGGUGGCAAGCGUUGUCCGGAAUUAUUGGGCGUAAAGCGCGCGCAGGCGGUCCUUUAAGUCUGAUGUGAAAGCCCACGGCUCAACCGUGGAGGGUCAUUGGAAACUGGGGGACUUGAGUGCAGGAGAGAAGAGUGGAAUUCCACGUGUAGCGGUGAAAUGCGUAGAUAUCGGGAGGAACACCUGAGGCGAAGGCGGGCUACUGGGCCGAUACUGACGCUGAUGCGCGAAAGCCAGGGGAGCGAACGGG